rnacentral:piRNA from 1 species
UAUUUGACCUAAAAUCAUAAA